UUUUGUUUUUUUUUCUCCCUUUAAAAAAAAUCUCCAGGUGGUUACAGUAGUGAUACUGGGAACUAAUUUUGAAGUUUCUGUUUGAGGACCUCCUUUCUAAGGAAUGUUGCCAGUCCUUACCUUCAGAGCUGCUGAGAGAUUUGAGUGCAGUCAUGACAGGAAUUUGCUCAAUUUUCAUUCCAUUUUCUUGGCUACAGGUUUGCUAAUAGCAAAUCAGAAAACUAUUUGGAUUACCCAUUAGCAGCAGCAGAAUAAACUUUGCAGUUGUCUGAGGACUCUAGAAGACUGUGUAGUUUUUCAUUCAGCUCACAUAUAAAGGAUUGUCUUCACAAAAUGAAGAGUUGCAGACUUGUGUAUUUUCUUAAAGGAGGCAGAGAUUUUGGAGCAGCACCGAAACACAGGCCCUGCGUGUGAUCCUGUGUAGAUGCAGGGUUGCUAUUUGAAGUGGUGGUCAGCCUUUCCUGCUUUUUUAUUACUUUUAUCUUGCUGUGAAAUCUGAUGAGAGGAACAGAAAUUAGGAGGGCAGAGUGGAGUUUAUAUUUAGAUAGAAUACUUGAAAGUUUUCCACCUGCUAUCCCUCUUCUAUUUAUUUUACUCUUAACAGUGAAAUUAUUAAUUGUUUUAAUGGUCUCUGAAGCUGUCUCUGACACUUUUAUUGAUGACCUAGAGGAGAUAGGUAUUCGCUUGGAACUGAAGGACCAUCAUUCAAGUUCUUCUGUGUCUUUAUCAGAAGCUAAACUUCUUUAUGCUGUUGACCACACCUCCCUGGUCUCCCUCAGCCCCAUCAGUGCCUAGAUAUGUUCUGUUCCUUUCUUCUGUUUUUCUUCAGAGUAGUUUUCUACCUGAAAGUGAGAAAUUCAUGACUUUAGUGGCUCUCUAUGUCUCCCUGUCUUCAGCCCUGUUUGGAUUUUUUUUUUUUACAGCACUGCAUCUCUCUCUUCUCAGCCCAUUGUUUCAAUGUCCUUUCCAACGUUUUUAAGAGCAGGAAACCUCAUUCACUUCAGUGGCAUUAACUUCAGGUAGUGAGUGGGGAGAUCUUAAACCCAUUUUUGAGAACUAUUUCUCAGCACAAUCAAAUUGAAAUUAUCUUCAUACUAUCCUGUUUUUAGUCAAUCCAACAUAAGCGAUAAAUGGCAUGAAAUGUUAAUAAAAAGACAAACUGCAUAUGGAAAGAUAGUAAAAACCUUAGUUUUUGAGUACUCUGUAAACAUGUUGUAAUAUACUCGGUAGCACGUUCUAAAAUAAUAGCCUGUGCCCAAGUCCGCUUCUGUUUAAUUUUGAGAUGGGAUUUUAGGAGCCCAGACUUGUCCUUGGCUUUCUAAAUUGGAAGGCAUCUGUGUGCAAUUUUCUGGGUUCUAGUUAAAGGCACAUCUAUCAUUUGGUAGCUGCUGCUAUAAUAGUUUUGCACUAAGUGGGACAUAGAAGUUUUGUGUGUAAUUGUGUUGUGCAGCAGGCCUCAUCCAUUAUUUUCUGGCACUUGGAUUUGUAGAUAAAUUCUACUGCCUUUCUGUGGCAAAAAAGAUAAACACCAAACGCAAACCAGGAACUUGGCAAUCUUCCUAAAUAGAUCCUUACACUCUUCUUUAUGUAAGUGUAAAAAUAAUAGUAAUGACAUAAAUAAUAGGAUCAAUAUACAGCUUACUAGCAAAGAUAAGUCAGCAUUUUGCAAAUGUCUUGCUCGCACAAAUAAUUUUAUAAUGAGCCUACUUGGAUAUUUUAGUAUUUUGCUGCUUGUUUUAUGUACAGAGAUAAAACAUAAUGGAUUAUUUAUUGAAAUGAUCUAAACAACUACUUUGGCUUUUAUUGCUAUUGUUUCUGAAAGACUGUGCAUACAUUUCAGCGCAGUAUCAGCCUUCACUCCUUCUGUAGGGUUUUAGCUGUGUCUAUAAUUGAGAUAACUGAGGGAUGUCAAGGUGCUUUGUGUUGUAGCAGGUCCUGUAAAGUGAGACUAAUUGCCAAACUCAACUUGUCACUUUUAAGUAAUGCUUUAUAAGAAUGUGUGGUGUUUGGGUGGCUUUUUCUAGCCAUCAUCAAUUUGUUUCUUCUGUUCCUACUAACAUCCUUUGAACCCUUUUGUUUGAAGAGUAGAUACCUCACAAGUAAAUAGAUAGAGACUUUGUGAGAUUUGCCCACUUCACUAAUUCAGAAGAAUCAAAAAUUAGAGUCCCUCAAGCAGAGGCUUCAGUGUUUCCUCAGCAUGGUUCAGUUUGCUGUGAUGUUUGUACCCACACUGGCUGAGAAGUCAGGGGCCAGGAGAGCUGGGGGACUCCGUGCACAGGUCAGCAUGUGCCUGCAUGGAUGUGUGUGUGUUGCAGAGAGGAGUGGAAGAGUGCAGGAUAGCUUAAGAUACUGCAGGAGGCUGAGAAAACAAGAUAAAAAUGGAGCUGCUGCAGUGGGGGAGGCUGUAGAGAUAGAGGGGCCACAUUCUUUUGGGGGAAGAAGCACAAAUGUAACUCUUCUCUUAACUUAGUUGUUCUGGAAGACACUUCCAUUGGGGGGAAAAACAGAGUUGGAGUGUUUCUUUGGGCCCCACUUUUAGUGCCUGUUAGGUUUAAAGUUGGAGUUUUUGUAGGGCAAAGUUAUUUUUCAUAGGUUGAAAUCUGUCUGAUGCUCUCAAUUAGUUCUUGCUUAAAUAUAUAUAUGUGUAUUCUUAUUCAUUACAUAGAAAUAAGCACAGUGGUAAUUUUAUCUUCCCUAAUCUUUAAAAGCAUGUCUUAAGCCUUCUCUUACAGUAUUCAACAGUGGUGAACAUGUAUUUUCAGGAGAAGCUGAUCUUAAGCUGUGGUGGAGUUAGAGUUGGUGUCUUUUGUUGGCCAAGUCAGCUGCUUGUAAAUGUCACGUUCUCCGGAGUAAAUGACACUUUUCUGAAUGGGUGGGUGCUCUGCUGCCUGUGUUGGUGGAUGUCAUGGUCCAAAAAGAAUUGCCUGGUUAUCCCUAUUUCCCUGUCCCUUUACAAAUCCAAGGUAAAAGAUGUUUUUGAUUCUGCUGCUGAUGCCAAGAAAUUUCUUAGCCUUCAGGAAAUGUAGUGAAGAUAAUCAGGUAUUACAUAGUGAGGUAAAAUCAAAUUCAUUAAAUCAUUGCCUAAUUCAGUGACACAAAUGUUUAGGAUGGAAGCUUUUUUUUUUUUUUUUUUUUCUUUUGAGAAAAGAGCUUAGUUCCUUAGUACAUACACAUAGCUGUGAGAUGUCUUUGAAUACUUUAAAUAUAAUGUAGUAAAAGUGUUGCAAACUUAUUUAAUUUUCUUGUAUGGUGGUGUCUCUCUGCACAGAACUGGGGAUCGUGCCAAAUGGGAUUCAGUCUCUGAAUUACAGCGUAGUAUAAAUCAGAAUCUGGAAUGGCUAAUGGUUAUUUGGGUACUGUAACUAACAGGAAUAAUUAAGAGCAAAUAACAUGAGAAGUCUUUUCGUUUUUGUUUAUGGUGUAAUGUCUGCUAUGAGUUAAAGAAAUAACAUUUUGGCAAUGCUCUUGUUUGAGUAACUUUUUUCUAAGUAAUCCAUGGAAAGAAUUAUGUUCUAAUAAUGUAUGGGGAUAGUUGCUUAUUAAAGUGAUUGUAGUGAAAGCAUGAAUACCAGUGUCUCGUAGCUAAUGCACAAGAGCAGUCUGCAGCUCACAGAUACCAAAUGUGAAAAGAAUUCCUUCAAAAUAAACCAUCCAAAGAACAGUAAAAUGAUUGUGGUGUGAUGCUGUUGUCUGGUAUAAGGUAACGAUAAAUCGUGUGCGUGGAUUUCCUAAAGCAGUGAACUGUGACGUUGCUGCUUUUAUCUUAUCAUGCUGCAGCUCCAUUUUGAAUGUAAAGCUGCAUGCCAACUAUUUAUUGGUUCUCUUUGCAAGGCUUAAAAUUAUUAACUGGUUUAGGCAUAGGGACUAACAGAAUGUUUUAAACUGAUUAAAGCAUUACGUGGUGCAGCUGUGCUGCUCUGAGGGCCCCCUGCUGCAGGUGGGGGAUGUCUGCUGCUCUGUCCCCUCUGGCCUCCCCUAGCAUACAGCCUGGCAACAUGUCUCAUGCUGCCCACUGCCCCAGGGACGGAGCAGUUUAUUGCCAGAGAGGUUGAAUUUGCCGUGUACUGUCCUGCAGGAUCGGCGCUCUGCCAAACCUCUGUUGAAUUUGCUCGCUGAAGGGUAAGCCUGAGAGGCAGGAUAAUGGAUUGCUUUGGGGAGGGCAGCCGGCCUCUGUGUGUCAGGAGUAGGACAUUCCCCCUUCUGUCUCUGGUGAGCUGUAAAGUCAGCUUAAGGUGCAGUAUGAAACUUCAACUUAAGAACAAAUCCUCUUGUGCAACAUCAGCUUUACUCUGCCCAGGGAAGUUCAAUUAUUUUAAAUAACAGGUUGAGAUCUGCACAGAACUUGUUGAUGGUGGAGGCUGGAGACUGGAGGAAAUAAAUUAGUAGGCUGUGGUUAUUCUUCCCAGGUUGGUCAGUGGGCCCUUAAGCAGGUUUUGCUAACGGGCAAGUGCUCUGGGACGCAAGAAAACAUUUCUCAAUGUUUGUCCCAGUGUCUGUGAAAGAGUAAUUAGGAGUGAAAGGAGUUGAAUUCAGGAUAUCUCCCUCUGAUCAAAUCUUGAAGUGAUGAUUCAGAAGCCCUGUGCAAAGCUUUCCCAUUUUUGUUUGUUUUCAAACCAUAUAAGCUGUAGCUGAAGCAAAGUCUCCCCGGUAUUGUUUUGUUUUUGUUUUUUGUUUCUUUUUAGAUAAAACUUGCCACAGAGAUUUUGGGGAAUGAUAAAUAAGGGUAACAUUUGGCUGGCCUGGUAAAACACCGUGCUGCAUGACAUGAUUAAUAUUAUUUAAUCUUAGAAAUUUAUGUUUCUAAGAAACAGCUGUGAAAAUAUUUGUUAUUUUCAUGAGAAUGUUUUUGUCCGCUGCAGUAAAGUUAUUUUCUCUUGUACUAAAAUUCAUUCUGUUGAUGUAUUUUUAUUAAAGUUGUAGGAUAUAAUGUUGUGUUUGUUUGGCAUGUCCGAUUUUUAUGGCUCAUUUAACAAAAUAUGAAUAUCCUGCUGAUAACAGAAUUUAAUACGACAGUCUAACAGAAAGAUUGUUCAAGAACCCAUUAGAUGAGAAUUUGAACUAUGCAGUGGAUGGUAGGUUUCAUAUUUGCAAUUGCCUUUGUAAUUUCUGAGGCUCACUUCUUUUGGAAACACUGCAGUCCAUUGUAAUUUUAUUUCUCCCAAGGCUUACUGCUCAAGAGGCACCGUAAGGGUCCUUUAAAAUUAAGAAUAAAUUUUCAAAAAGUGGACUUCUGGACUGCUCUGGUCCACGUUAUUAGGACUGCAUUUGCCCAGCACAGUCAGUUGAUGUAAGCCUUUAGGUGAGAUAACUAGAUGCUGCCAUAUGGCAAGUUGGUAGUAACUGAAUCCUUACCUGAUUGGAUAGCAGGAAAAAAAUCUCCAUCGUGCAUGUAGUCAAAAAGCUGUUUGUCCUCUAGUGCAGUGCUUGCUGGAUGGAAAAGGCACUGCGCUUGGUUGGAAGAGUGACUUGGAAUAGAAAGGACCGAUAGAAAUCCAGAAUAGACUUCCCUAGAUCUUGAUAGUUUUUUGAUGAGGAUAAAUGCGGGUUGCAUGUUCGGUUAAGAUGGCAGAAGCCCAUCUCCAGCUGCAGGAUAGUCUCUUAAAAGCCAAGUGUUUUGUUUUAGUUGUCUUUAGAAUGAUAGCUCUUGAAAAGCAAGUUCAGAAUUGAGUGCAGUUAGCAAGCUGACAUGUUGUUUUUGUUAUAUUAAAAGUUACAUUAUCAGUAGUACUUCCUUGUUUUCACUGCCGUUAAAAGUAACAAUUGAGAAAAUGUUUGUUUUUCUAGGGAUGUUAAAGUUGUGUGUGUUUUGUUUAUUAUUAUUAUUAAUUCUUUGUUUUUAACGAGAAUUUUAGCAUACUGAGGUUUAGUUCACAGUUGUCACUGUUCCUGAAACUCGUUGUUAGGUCUGGUUAACUUUGACACUUCCAUUACAAAAAUUUGUGCUGUAAGUGUAAUAAUGUAGUUGCAAUGCUCUGCUGUUUUAAACCACCCCCUUCGCAGCUGCUAAUCUAUAUUGUCUCAGAGGAAAUAGUGUGAAGAAGCUAGAAUUCCUUUCCGUGGUGAUGCAAUAGAGAAAUUUGCAAAUAUGUUACUGUGUUGAUAUUGCCUUUGUGUGUGUGCACUUAUGCUACAAUAUUUUCUUCAAAUUUACUUAAACUUUGUGUAAUGGGAUUCAGUAAAGAUAAUUAAAUGUAAUAUCUAAGCUGACAUUAUACAGCCAGCGGAGCCUGCAGAGCUGUUGGGUGACCAGUUGCUCGAUGUCUGCUAAGCUGGUCUCUGGUUCCCUUGCCUUACAGCUUUGGCCAUGGAAUGUUUUGGGUUGAAAAAGACCCUUAGGAUUAUCAAGUCUAUCCAUCGACCUAGCAACAUCUGACUGCAAAUGGACUUGAAGUCUAUUUGAAGUCCUCUUGAAGUCCAUAGAGUGCAUGUAGUGCAUGCAGGAGGUUGUUGUCCAUACUUGUGUUGCACUUCUCUGAUUAUUUUUUUUGUAUUUGUUUUUAAAAAGAUAACAAUCUACUUGAUUUUUAACUGUAUAUAUGUGUGUAGGGUCAUUUUGUAACUGGUAGAAGCCCCCAGGUGUGGGGCCGUACCAUGUGGCCCUGCAAGUCACCGCAGCAGUGAUUUGCAGCCGGGCCAGGCCUACCAGCUCGGUGCUGCUGUCAGUCUGUCCUGCUGCCCCUCCCAGGGCCUGGGCUGGUACAGCUUCGCUUGUGUCAACACUGGCGCUUCUCUGGCUUCGCAGCAAGUUGGCUGUAGGAGCUAAAUUGGCAGAAAACUCCUUUUAGAGGAAGAAAAAGUGUUGGUGGAGCUAGCCUGCACUUGUUUUCAGUCAUAUUAGCAAUUUAAUCUAGCUGACUGCCCUCUCAUAUGGGGGUGAAGGCUUGCCAGUGUCACAGGGAAUAGGG